GAUGAACGCUCGCUACAGGCUUAACACAUGCAAGUCGCGGGGCAGCAUGGGGGUUGCUUGCCAUCCCCGAUGGCGACCGGCGCACGGGUGAGUAACGCGUAUCCAACCUGCCCUUCACCACGGGAUAACCCGGCGAAAGUCGGACUAAUACCGUAUGUUGUCCAUUGACGGCCUCCGAUUUGGACGAAAGGCUUGGCGGUGAGGGAUGGGGAUGCGUCCGAUUAGCCAGACGGCGGGGUAACGGCCCACCGUGGCUACGAUCGGUAGGGGUUCUGAGAGGAAGGUCCCCCACACUGGAACUGAGACACGGUCCAGACUCCUACGGGAGGCAGCAGUGAGGAAUAUUGGUCAAUGGGCGUAAGCCUGAACCAGCCAAGUAGCGUGCAGGAUGACGGCCCUAUGGGUGGUAAACUGCUUUUAUGCGGGGAUAAAGUGGCCCACGUGUGGGCUUUUGCAGGUACCGCAUGAAUAAGGACCGGCUAAUUCCGUG
rnacentral:rRNA from 1 species